GGUCAGAUGGCCGAGUGGUUAUGGCGCUGCGUUCAGGUUUACUUGAACAUUGAAUCUUCAAUUUCGCAGUGGAGCAAUCCGCGUGGGUUCGAGUCCCACUCUGAUCA